rnacentral:rRNA from 1 species
AUCGAUGAAGAACGCAGCGAAAUGCGAUAAGUAAUGUGAAUUGCAGAAUUCAGUGAAUCAUCGAAUCUUUGAACGCACCUUGCGCUCCUUGGUAUUCCGAGGAGCAUGCCUGUUUGAGUGUCUUGAAGUCAUCAACCCUCCUUGCUUUUUGGCGGGGCAGGGCUUGGAGUUUGAGGGCUUUGCUGCCGAAGGGCGGCUCCCUCCAAAUGCUUCGGUUGGGCCUGCGGGUCGAACUCGACUGGGCGUUGUACCAUCCUCGCUCGACCGAGAUGUUCCCCUUUCUGUGCCGCGACCCCGACCGCCUGUGGAGCGGCGGUCAACAAGCAAUUUGAAAUCUGACCUCAAAUCAGGUAGGACUACCCGCUGAACUUAAGCAUAUCAAUAAGCGGAGGAAAAGAAACUAACAAGGAUUCCCCUAGUAACUGCGAGUGAAGCGGGAAAAGCUCAAAUUUGAAAUCUGGCGGUUCUGCCGUCCGAGUUGUAUUCUGGAGAAGUGCCUUCCGUGCCGGACCGUGUACAAGUCCCUUGGAACAGGGCGUCAUAGAGGGUGAGAAUCCCGUCUUUGACACGGACUGCCGGUGCUCUGUGAUGCGCUCUCGAAGAGUCGAGUUGUUUGGGAAUGCAGCUCAAAACGGGUGGUAAAUUCCAUCUAAAGCUAAAUAUUGGCGAGAGACCGAUAGCGAACAAGUACCGUGAGGGAAAGAUGAAAAGCACUUUGGAAAGAGAGUAAAACAGUACGUGAAAUUGUUGAAAGGGAAACGCUUGAAGUCAGUCGCGUCUGCCGGAACUCAGCCUUGCUUCUGCUUGGUGCACUUUCCGGUUCGACGGGCCAGCAUCGGUUUUGUGAGGCGGACACUGGCGGGUGGAAGGUGGCGGCUCCGGUCGCGUUAUAGCCUCCCGUCGCGAACGCCUCGUGGGACCGAGGAAUCCGGCGCAAGCCUGGGAUGCUGGCGUAAUGGCUUUAAACGACCCGUCUUGAAACACGG